UACAGAGGUCCCGAGCGUUGUUCGGAUUCACUGGGCGUAAAGGGUGCGUAGGUGGUGGGGUAAGUCGGAUGUGAAAUCUCGGAGCUCAACUCCGAAAUGGCAUUGGAAACUACCCUGCUGGAGGUUUGGAGGGGGGACUGGAAUACUUGGUGUAGCAGUGAAAUGCGUAGAUAUCAAGUGGAACACCAGUGGCGAAGGCGAGUCCCUGGACAAAAACUGACACUGAGGCACGAAAGCUAGGGGAGCAAACAGG
rnacentral:rRNA from 1 species